rnacentral:rRNA from 1 species
AUUGAACGCUGGCGGCAUGCUUUACACAUGCAAGUCGAACGGUAACAGGCCGCAAGGUGCUGACGAGUGGCGAACGCGUGAGUAAUGCAUCGGAACGUGCCCAGUCGUGGGGGAUAACUACUCGAAAGAGUAGCUAAUACCGCAUACGAUCUAUGGAUGAAAGCGGGGGACCGUAAGGCCUCGCGCGAUUGGAGCGGCCGAUGUCAGAUUAGGUAGUUGGUGGGGUAAAGGCUCACCAAGCCAACGAUCUGUAGCUGGUCUGAGAGGACGACCAGCCACACUGGGACUGAGACACGGCCCAGACUCCUACGGGAGGCAGCAGUGGGGAAUUUUGGACAAUGGGCGCAAGCCUGAUCCAGCAAUGCCGCGUGCAGGAAGAAGGCCUUCGGGUUGUAAACUGCUUUUGUACGGAACGAAACGGCUCUGGUUAAUACCCGGGGCUAAUGACGGUACCGUAAGAAUAAGCACCGGCUAACUACGUG